UGAAGAAGGUGUUUACGCGAACGAGUGCACCCGAGAUUGGUGGUGUCCAUGGCCAAUACAUCGUGUGGAUGUUCCACAACAGGCUAAUCAAGGCGAUUGUGGUAUGUUCGUGUUGAAGUACAUUGAGCUGUUGAGUGCUGAGAUUUCCUUAGCUACUUGCACCUCGCAGAACAUGCCAUUUUUUCGGUUGAAGUUGGCUGCAGAAAUUGCACGGGGAGAUGCUUACAUGCCAUGAUAUCGGUUGAACUUGGUUUAGGCACAUGAUGAUGAAAUAGGUUUUGGGAAUGUCAAAUUUCAAAGUCAUGUAAAUACACAAUAGAGACCCAUGGGUCCUUUUCGAAUUCCACCUCUGCUCCUGAAUUCUUCUUCGUCUUUCUCAAUCUUAGUGUAUUUGUGUACAGAAAUUUAGAUUUAAGUUACUGGACAAUAACAAUUAGAACCAAAAUAGUGGCAAAUAUUAUAGCGGAUGCAUGCUUUCA